AUUGAACGCUGGCGGCAUGCCCUACACAUGCAAGUCGAACGGCAGCGCGGGCUUCGGCCUGGCGGCGAGUGGCGAACGGGUGAGUAAUACAUCGGAACGUACCCAGUUGUGGGGGAUAGCCCGGCGAAAGCCGGAUUAAUACCGCCUACGACCUGAGGGUGAAAGGGGGGGAUCGCAAGACCUUCCGCAGUUGGAGCGGCCGAUGGCGGAUUAGCUAGUUGGUGGGGUAAAGGCCUACCAAGGCGACGAUCCGUAGCUGGUCUGAGAGGACGACCAGCCACACUGGAACUGAGACACGGUCCAGACUCCUACGGGAGGCAGCAGUGGGGAAUUUUGGACAAUGGGGGCAACCCUGAUCCAGCCAUUCCGCGUGAGUGAAGAAGGCCUUCGGGUUGUAAAGCUCUUUCGGCAGGAACGAAACGGUGGGUCCUAAUAUGGCCUGCUAAUGACGGUACCUGAAGAAGAAGCACCGGCUAACUACGUGCCAGCCGCCGCAGUAAUAC
rnacentral:rRNA from 1 species